UAGGGAAUCUUCGGCAAUGGACGGAAGUCUGACCGAGCAACGCCGCGUGAGUGAAGAAGGUUUUCGGAUCGUAAAGCUCUGUUGUAAGAGGAGAACGAGUGUGAGAGUGGAAAGUUCACACUGUGACGGUAUCUUACCAGAAAGGGACGGCUAACUACGUGUCAGCAGCCGCGGUAAUACGUAGGUCCCGAGCGUUGUCCGGAUUUAUUGGGCGUAAAGCGAGCGCAGGCGGUUAGAUAAGUCUGAAGUUAAAGGCUGUGGCUUAACCGUAGUACGCUUUGGAAACUGUUUAACUUGAGUGCAAGAGGGGAGAGUGGAAUUCCAUGUGUAGCGGUGAAAUGCGUAGAUAUAUGGAGGAACACCGGUGGCGAAAGCGGCUCUCUGGCUUGUAACUGACGCUGAGGCUCGAAAGCGUGGGGAGCAAACAGGAUUAGAUACCCUGGUAGUCCACGCCGUAAACGAUGAGUGCUAGGUGUUAGACCCUUUCCGGGGUUUAGUGCCGUAGCUAACGCAUUAAGCACUCCGCCUGGGGAGUACGACCGCAAGGUUG
rnacentral:rRNA from 1 species